rnacentral:rRNA from 1 species
GAUGAACGCUGGCGGCGUGCCUAAUACAUGCAAGUCGAGCGAACAGACGAGGAGCUUGCUCCUCUGACGUUAGCGGCGGACGGGUGAGUAACACGUGGAUAACCUACCUAUAAGACUGGGAUAACUUCGGGAAACCGGAGCUAAUACCGGAUAAUAUAUUGAACCGCAUGGUUCAAUAGUGAAAGACGGUUUUGCUGUCACUUAUAGAUGGAUCCGCGCCGCAUUAGCUAGUUGGUAAGGUAACGGCUUACCAAGGCAACGAUGCGUAGCCGAACUGAGAGGCUGAUCGGCCACACUGGAACUGAGACACGGUCCAGACUCCUACGGGAGGCAGCAGUAGGGCAUCUUCCGCAAUGGGCGAAAGCUUGACGGAGCAACGCCGCGUGAGUGAUGAAGGUCUUCGGAUCGUAAAACUCUGUUAUUAGGGAAGAACAAAUGUGUAAGUACCUAUGCACGUCUUGACGGUACCUAAUCAGAAAGCCACGGCUAACUACGUG